rnacentral:rRNA from 1 species
UACGUAGGGUGCAAGCGUUAAUCGGAAUUACUGGGCGUAAAGCGUGCGCAGGCGGUUCUAUAAGACAGAUGUGAAAUCCCCGGGCUCAACCUGGGAACUGCAUUUGUGACUGUAGAGCUGGAGUGCGACAGAGGGGGAUGGAAUUCCGCGUGUAGCAGUGAAAUGCGUAGAUAUGCGGAGGAACACCGAUGGCGAAGGCAAUCCCCUGGGCCUGCACUGACGCUCAUGCACGAAAGCGUGGGGAGCAAACAGG